rnacentral:lncRNA from 1 species
AUUACUCGACGAGCGAGCGGAGGAAAUGACGUGCGAGGCCACACCACAACCGCUUGGCACGAGAAAAACACCAGCAAGGGCCACGAGACUGCCCCUGCCAUCUGACAGGCAACAACAAAGUGACACCACCAAUGCUUGGCCUGGUCGGGACCGCAUGCGCGAGCUCCGCUGACACCACCCCAGGGGGAAGUUACCCGAUUCAGGGACUUGUUCCUGGGGUCUUGGGCAGCGUAGGUUGCAUGCACGGCCUCGUCGAGGCCUAGGCAUUUUUUAUGGUCGAGGAGAAGGGACCGCGAGACUGUCAAAUAUCGAAAGACCUGGCUGGGCCAACCCCGCAACCGCGGCUUCUACUCGCACCACCCCAGGGAGCCGUUGCCCAAUUCAGGGACUUGGUCUGGGGUCUAAGGUAGUAUCUGCCGUGUACACAGGUUCGAGCUCAGCUCUUCUUUUUUGCAUGCACGUCAAUCGAUCGAGGCCAUGGGCGCCUGCCAGUCACUCGAGCAACCAGUCACCGAAUAAAAUGGCGGGAAGGCAUGCACGCCUUGUAUUUCGUUUAAGGGACGUUGCCCUGAGUGUACGCAAUAGGAGGCCCAUCACGCACACCUACUCCCCUCGUGGAGGGGGAGAGGGGAGAGGGGUGCCGGACCACCACCAUCUAAAGAGCAUUAGAGAUUUUACAGAUCUGCUACCAAUAGACGUUAAAGUGUCUGAAAUGGGGACACUUUUUCCAAAUAGGCAUAUCCCACACUGAGGGUGAGCAGGUGCCGAUGGUGGUUGGGGCAUGUGGCCGCACCAAGGGCCAGCGCGUGUCGAUGGUGGUCGAUCCGACUGCCUGCACCAAGGGUCAGCAUGUGCCGAUGGUGGUCGAGGCAACCGCCCACACCAGAUCGAGGCAUGUGCCCAUACCAAGGCCCGACAUGUGCCGAUGGUGGUCGAGUAAGAGCCCGCACCAAAGGCCGGCUUAUGUCGGUGGUGCCCGAGGUAACCGCCCACACCGAGGGCCAUCUUUUACCGAUGGUGGUCCAGGCAACCGCCCCCAACAAGGCCCAGCACGUGCUGAUGGUGUUCGAGGCAAUCGCCCGCACUAGGGGCCAUCUUUUGUCGAUGGUGGUCGAGGCAAGAGCCCACACCAAAGGCCGGCUUGUGCCGAUGGUGCUCAAGGUAAAUGCCCAUACGAAGGCCUACCACGUGCCAAUGGUGUUCGAGGUAACUGCCCGCACCGAAGCCCAGUAUGUGCCGAUGGUGGUCGACGCAAUCGCUCGCACCAAGGCCUAGCAUGUGCCGAUGGUGUUCGACGUAACCGUCUGCACCAGGGGCCAUCUUGGGUCGAUGGUAGUCCACGCAACCGCCCGCACCAAGGAUCGGCUUGUGUGGAUGGUGGUUCAGGUAACCACCCGCACCAGGGGCCAUUUUCUACCGAUGGUGGUCAAGGCAACCGCCCGUACCAAAGACUAGCACGUGCCGAUGGUGGUCGAGGCAACCGCCCGCACCAAGGCCCAGCAUGGGCCGAUGGUGUUUGACGCAACUGCCCGCACCAGGGGCCAUCUUGUGCCAAUGGUGGUUGAGGUAACCACCCGCACCAAGGGUCGUCUUGUGCCGAUGAUGGUCAAGGCAACCGCCCUCACCAAGGGUCAACUUGUGCAGAUGGUGGUCGAGGCAACUGCCUGCACCAGGGGCCAUUUUCUGCAGAUGGUGGUUGAGACAAGAGCCCGCACCAAGAGCCGGCUUAUGUCGAUGGUGGUUGAGGCAACUGCCCGCACCAGAGGCCAUCUUCUGCCAAUGGUGGUCGAGGUAACUGCCUACACCAGGGGCCAUCUUCUGUCGAUGGUGGUCGAGGCAACCGCCCGCACCAAGGCCCAGCAUGUGCCGAUGGUGGUUGAGGUAAGAGCCCGCACUAAGGGUUAGCUUGUACCGAUGGUGCUCGAGGCAACCGCCCCCACCAGGGGCCAUCUUCUACCGAUGGUGGUCGAGGUAACCGCCUACACCAAGGCCCAGCAUGUACCGAUGGUGGUCGAGGCAACAGCCUACAGCAAGGGCCAGCAUGUACCGAUGGUGUUCGACGUAACCGCCCGCACCAGUGGCCAUCUUGUGCUGAUGGUGGUCGAGGUAACCGCCCGUACCAAGGGUCGGCUAGUGCCGAUGGUGCUCGAGGCAACCACUCGUACCAAGGCCCAGCACGUGCCGAUGGUGUUCGAGGCAACCUCCUGCACUAGGGGUCAUCUUCUACCGAUGGUGGUCGACGCAACCGCCCGCACCAAGGCCCCGCAUGUGCCGAUGGUGUUCGACGUAGCCGCCCGCACUAGGGGCCAUCUUGUGUCGAUGGUGGUUGAGGUAACCCCCCGCACCAAGGGCCGACUGGUGCCGAUGGUGUUCGAGGCAAUCGCCCACACCAAGGCUCGGCAUGUGUCGAUAAUGGUCGAGGCAACCGCCUAUACCAGGGGCCAUCUUGUGCCGAUGGUGGUCGAGGCAAUCGUCCGUACCAAGGGUCGACUUGUGUCGAUGGUGGUCGAGGCAACCGCCCGCACCAAGGUCGGCAUGUGUCGAUGGUGAUCGAGGCAACCACCCCCACCAGGGCCCAGCUUACUCUUUGAGACAAGCAUAUGACUACUGGCAGGAUCAACCAGGUAGCAUAAAUUCGGGACAUUGGCACUGCGUGUGCCUCGAUGCACCGACCGAGCGGUGUAUAGAGCCCGACACGGAGCGCAAGCAUCGUGCGUGUCAAGCACAUGAAAUGCAUAGCAUCAGACAAACGGGGGCUGAGAGCCCGCGCCCGCUAAAUGUUUCACAUUCGAGAGCACGAUCGAACGUCGGUGCACCAAUGCAACCAUGGAGGAUUGAGUGGCACGCUUGGGACACCGACCACGAUUGACAUCCAACCCGUGGCCCCUCGGGACACGAGACGGAUGAGGGAUGGUGAGACAUCCGGUUUCCAUCGAUUCAGGUAUGUAACACAGGAUCCUGAUCAUGCCCCCUGGGUACGAUGAUCGCAUGGGGGGAGAUUGAAGAGGAUGAUGGACCGACAGUUCGAUGCAUCGAGCAUGGAGCCUACCAACACGCACAACCAUAGCACCACUCAUACGCCCAUUGCGUACAAGUGGCAGCAUCCACGCACGUCGAUCCACAACCUGUCUGAUCGAUUACUCGAUGAGCAAGCGAAGGAAAUGACGUGCGAGGCCAUGCCACAACCGCUUGGCACGAGAAAAACAUGAGCAAGGGCCACGAGACUGCCCCUGCCAUCCGAUAGGCAACAACAAAGUGACACCACCAAUGCUUGGCCCAGCUGGGAUCGCACGUGUGAGCUCCGCUGACACCACCCCAGGGGGACGUUGCCUGAUUCAGGGACUUGUUCCUGGGGUCUCGGGCAGCGUCGACUAUGUGCACAGCCUCAUUGAGGCCUAGAAGUUUUUAUGGUCGAUGAGAAGGGACCGCGAGAUCGUCAAAUACCGAGAGGCCUGGCUGGGCUAAGCCCGCAACCGUGAGUUCUGCUCGCACCACCCCAGGGAGCCAUUGCUUGAUUCAGGGACUUGAUCUGGGGUCUAGGGCAGCAUCCACCGCAUGCACGGGCUCUAGCUCAGCUUCUUUUUUUUGCAUGCAUGCCAACCGAUCGAGGCCAUGGGCGCCUACUGGUCACCAGAGCAACCAGUCACCGGACAAAACGGCCAGAAGGCAUGCACACCCUGUAUUUCACUCGAGGAACGUUGCCCUGGGUGUACACAAUAGGAGGCCCAUCACGCACACCUACUCCCCCCGUGGGGGGGAGAGGGGGUGCCGGACCACCACCCCCUAAAGAGCAUUAGAGAUUUUACAGAUAUGCUACCAGUAGACGUUAAAGUGUCUGAAACAGGGACAUUUUUUCCAAACAAGCAUAUCUCGCACCGACGGUGAGUAGAUGCCGAUGGUGGUUGGGGCAUGUGCCCGUACCAAGGGCUAGCGAGUGCCGAUGGUGGUCGAUGCGAUUGCCCGCACCAAGGGCCAGCAUGUGCCGAUGGUGGUCGAGGCAACCGCCCGUACCAGAUCGAGGCAUGUGCCUACACCAAGGCCCGACAUAUGCCGAUGGUGUUCGAGGUAACCGCCCACACCAGGGGCCAUCUUCUACCGAUGGUGGUCGAGGUAAGAACCCGCACCAAGGGCCAGCUUAUGCUGAUGGUGCUGGAGGCAACCGCCCGCACCAAGGCCUGGCACGUGCCGAUGGUGUUUGAGGACAACCGCUCGCACUAGGGACCAGCAUGUACCGAUGGUGUUCGAGGUAACCACCCACACCAGGGGCCAUAUUCUACCGAUGGUGGUCGAGGCAAGAGCUCGCACCAAGGGCCAGCUUAUGUCGAUGGUGCUCGAGGCAACCACCCGUACAAAGGCCUAGCAUGUGCCGAUGGUGUUCGAGGCAAUCGGUCGCACCGAGGCCCAGCAUGUGCUGAUGGUGGUCGAGACAAUUGCCCGUACCAAGGCCCAGCAUGUGCCGAUGGUGUUCGACGUAACCGCCCGCACCAGGGGCCAUCUUGUUUUGAUGGUGGUCGAGGCAACCACCCGUACCAAGUGUCAGCUUGUGCCGAUGGUGGUCGAGGCAACCGCCCGCACCAUGGCCCAGUAUGUGCCGAUGGUGUUCGAUGCAACCACCCCCACCAGGGGCCAUCUUGUGCCGAUGGUGGUCGAGGCAAUCACCCGUACCAGGGGUCGACUUGUGCCGAUGGUGGUCGAGGCAACUGCUCGCACCAAGGGCCGACAUGUGCUGAUGGUGAUCGAGGCAAUCGCCCGUACCACGGCCCAGCUUGUGCCGAUGGCGGUCAAGGCAAGUGCCCGUACCAAAGGGCAGCCUGUGUCGAUGAUGGUCGAUACAUGUGCCAUCACCAUGCGCCAUCAUGUGCCAUUGAUGGUCGAGGCCUUGGCCGAAGUUCAAUUUUGAGCCACAGUGCACAUGCUGGGCUCAGGCAUGUACUGGUUUCACAUUUUUUUCACCUGAGGCACCAUCGUCGGAGCAUCGUCAGAGAGCCUAACUGGCAGCAUUGGUGGUUUCGACGAUUGGGGGGCCGGGGGGUGUGCGCACAUGAUGUGCGAUGGGUGCUGGUACUUGGCCUUUAUAUUGCCCCCCUAUCCCUCAUCAAACUUCGAGAACUCACACCCCCUUAAAGAGCAUUUGAGAUUUUAUAGGUUUGCUGCCAGUAGCCAUUAAAGUGUCUGAAAUGGGGACACUUUUUUCAAACGGUCACAAAAUCUUCUCCACUUCGAGUUUUUAGCUGAAUUGUUUUGUGCAUGCCAACAAAAAUACAAGGAUCACUUCUACCAAAUUUGGGGACAAAACUCUUUCUAAAAAAAUUUUAAAAAAUCCUGAACCACAAAAAGUUUCAAAAAUUAUGAAAAAUAGAAAACGGGUUGUCUUGCCACGAAACUUCACGUGAAGGCUUAGGGGACCAUUGUAUGAAUUUACAAGCCAUAAAAAUGGCAUUGGCAUGGCAGAAAUAUGAAGAUGUGCUUGAACCCACCUACCACCCGUUGGAUCCACGGCUUGCGCAUCCUGCCUCUCUGGCCGGCUGAGCGUCCGCACGUUCGUUUCACGGGUUGACUUAGGCAUACAGAGUUCAUCCCCAGUCUAAGCAUAUGGAGUUCAUUCCCAGUCUAAGAUCGGACUGGACCGAGGGUUACAGUAGUAGGAUCAGUAGCACGUAGGGGGGGAUCGGGCCGAUCCCCGGCUUGCGCAUUCUGCCUCUCCGACCGGUUGAGCGCCCGCAUGCCUGUUUCAUGGGUUGGCUUAGGCAUAGGGAGUUCAUUCCAUGUCUAAGCCCCAGCCGAACCGAGGGUUGUGGUAGUGGGACCGACAGCACGCAGAAGGGGACCAAACCGAUCCCCAACUUGCGUAUUAUGCCUCUUCGAUCGGCUCAACACCUGUACGCUCAUUUUGUGGGUUGACUUAGGCAUACGGAGUUCAUUCCCAGUCUAAGAUCGGAUCGGACUGAGGGUUGCGAUAACAGGAUCGACAGCACGCAGGGGGGACCGGGUUGAUCCCUGGCUUGUACAUUCUGCCUCUCCGACCUGUUGAGCGCCCGCACACCCAUUUCGUGGGUUGGCUUAGGCAUAGGGAGUUCAUUCCAUGUCUAAGCCCCAGCCAGAUCGAGGGUUGUGGCAGCAGGACCGGUGCACAUAGAGGGGGACUGGGCCGAUCCUCGGCUUGCGCAUUAUGCCUUUUCGGCCGACUCAGCGCCCGCACACUCGUUUUGUGGGUUGACUUAGGCAUACGGAGUUCAUUCCUAGUCUAAGAUCAAAGCGGACCGAGGGUUGUGGUCGCAAGAUCGACAGCACGCAGGGGGGGACCGAGCUGAUCCCCGGCUUACGCAUUCUGUCUCUCCAGUCGACUGAGUGCCCGCACGCUCGUUUCAUGGGUUGGCUUAGGCAUACGGAGUUCAUUCCAUGUCUAAGCAUACGGAGUUCAUUCCCAUUCUAAGAUCGGACCGGACCGAGGGUUGCGACAACAGGACUAGCAGUAGAAUCGACAGCACGCACGCGGGAUCGGGUCGAUCCCUGGCUUGCGUAUUCUGCCUCUCCGGUCGGUUGAGUGACUGCACGCUCGUUUCGUGGGUUGGCUUAGGCAUAUGGAGUUCAUUCCAUGUCUAAGCCCCAGCCGGACUGAGGGUUGUGGCAGUAGGAUCGGCAGCGGGAUCGGUAGCACCUAGAGAAGGAUAGGGCUGAUCCCCGGCUUGCGCAUUAUGCCUCUCUGGCCGACCUGUCCGGCCAGCUCAACACCCGUAUGCCCAUUUCAGGGGUUGACUUAGGCAUACGGAGUUGAUUCCAAGUCUAAGCAUAGAGAGUUCAUUCCCAGUCUAAGCAUACGUUGGCACCACGUGGGCCUCGACGCACCGACCGAGCGGUGGAGAGAGCCCGUCGUGGAGCGUAAGCAUCGUGCGUGUCGAGGACGUGAAAUGCGUAGCAUCGGACGAACGGGGGCCGAGAGCCCGCACUCGCUAAACAUUUCACAUCCGAGAGCAUGAUCGAAUGUUGAUGCACCAAUGUGGCCAUGGAGGAUUGGGUGGCGUGCUUAGGACAUCGGCCACGAUUGACGUUCGACCCGUGGCCCCUCGGGACACAAGACGGAUGAGGGAUGGUGAGACAUCUAGUUUCCAUCGAUUUAGGUAUGCAACACAGGAUCCCGAUCACACCUACUGGGUACGAUGAUCGCAUGGGGGGAGAUUGAAGAGGAUGAUGGGUCGAUAGUUCGAUGCAUCGAGCUUGGAGCCUGUCAACAUGCACAACCAUAGCACCACUCAUAUGCCCAUUGUGUACAAGUGGCAGCAUCCACGCGCGCCGGUCCAUAACCCACCCAAUCAAUUACUCGACGAGUGAGCAGAGGUAACGACGUGCGAGGCCAUGCCACAACCACUUGGCAAGAGAAAAACACGAGCAAGGGCCACGAGACUGCCCCUGCCAUCCAACAGGCAACAACAAAGCGACACCACCAAUGCUUGGCCCGAUUGGACCCGUACACGUGAGCUCUGUUGACACCACCCCAAGGGGACGUUACCCAAUUCAGAGACUUGUUCCUGGGGUCUCAGGCAGUGUCGGUUGCGUGCACAGCCUCGUUGAGGCCUAGGCAUUUUUGUGGUCGAUAAGAAGGGAUCACGAGAUCAUCAAAUACUAAGAGACCUGGCUGGGCCAAGCUCGCAACUGCGACUUCUACUCGCACCACCCCAGGGAGCCGUUACCCGAUUCAGGGACUUGGUCUGGGGUCUAGGGUAGCAUCCGUCGCGUGCAUGGGCUCGAGCUCAGCUCUUUUUUUUCACAUGCAUGCCAACCGGUCGAGGCCAUAGGUGCCUGUCAGUCACCGGAGCAACCAGUCCUCAAACAAAAUGGUCGGAAGGCAUGCACACCCUGUAUUUCGCUCAAGGGACAUUGCCCUGGGUGUACGCAAUGGGAGGCCCAUCACACACACCUACUCCCCCCGUGGGGGAGGGAGAGGGGGUGCCGGACCACCACCCCAUAAAGAGUAUUAGAGAUUUUAUAGAUAUGCUACCAGUAGACAUUAAAGUGUCUUAAACGAGGACACUUUUUCCAAACAGGCAUAUCUCGCAUCGAGGGUGAGCAGGUGCCGAUGGUGGUUGGGGCAUGUGCCUGCACCAAGGGCCAGCGCGUACCGAUGGUGGUCGAUGCGAGUGCUCGCACCAAGGGCCAGCGUGUGCCGAUGGUGGUCAAGGCAAUCACCCGUACCAGAUCAAGGCAUGUGCCCACACCAAGGUCGGCAUGUGAAAAUGGUGUUUGAGGUAACCGCCCACACCAAGGCCAUCUUCUACCGAUGGUGGUCGAGGCAAGAGCCCGCACCAAGGGCCGACUUGUACCGAUGGUGCUCGAGGCAACCGCUCCCACCAAGGGCCAUCUUCUGUCGAUGGUGGUCGAGGCAAUCGCCCGUACAAAGGCGCAGCACGUGUCGAUGGUGUUCGAGGCAACCGCCCGCACCAGGGGCCAUCAUCUGCCGAUGGUGGUCGAGGCAAGAGCCCACACCAUAGGCUGGCUUGUGCCUAUGGUGCUCGAGGUAACCACCCGUACGAAGGCCUAGCACGUGCUGAUGGUGUUCGAGGCAACCGCUCGCACCGACGCCCAGCAUGUACCGAUGGUGUUCGACGCAACCGUUCGCACCAGAGGCCAUCUUGUGUCGAUGGUGGUCGAGGCAACCACCCGCACCAGGGGCCAUUUUCUACCGAUGGUGGUCGAGGCAACCGCCCGCACCAAGGGUUAGCUUGUGUAGAUGCUGGUCGAGGUAACCGCUCGCACCAGGGGCCAUUUUUUGUCAAUGGUGGUCGAGACAAGAGCCCGCACCAAGGGUUGGAUUGUGUCGAUGGUGGUCGAGGCAACCGCCCACACCAGGGCCCAUCUUCUGUCGAUGGUGGUCGAGGCAACCGCCCACACCAAGGCCCAGCAUGUGCCGAUGGUGGUCGAGGCAAGAGCUCGAACCAAGGGUCAGCUUGUACCGAUGGUGCUUGAGACAACCGCCCGCACCAGAGGCCAUCUUAUGUUGAUGGUGGUCGAGGCAACCGCCCGCACCAAGGCCCAGCAUGUGCCGAUGGUGUUUGAGGCAAUCGUUCUCACCAAGGCCUAGCAUGUGCCGAUGGUGUUCGACACAACUGCCCCUACCAGAGGCCAUCUUCUACCGAUGGUGGUCGAGGCAACCGCCCGCACCAAGGCCCAGCAUGUGCCGAUGGUGUUCGGCACAAUCGCCCAUAUCAGGGGCCAUCUUGUGCCAAUGGUGGUCGAGGCAACCACCCGCACGGAGGGUCGGCUAGUGCCGAUGGUGCUCGAGGCAACAGCCAGCACCAAGGCCUGGCACUUGUCGAUGGUGUUCGAGGUAACCGUCUGCACCAAGGGUCAUCUUCUACCGAUGGUGGUCGAGGCAACCGCCCGCACUAAGGGUCGGCUGGUGCUGAUGGUGUUUGAGGCAACCGCGCACACCAAGGCUCGGCAUGUGCCGAUGGUGGUCGAGGCAACCGCCUGCACCAUGGCCCAGUAUGUGCCGAUGGUGUUCGAUGCAACUGCCCACACCAGGGGCCAUCUUAUGUCGAUGGUGGUUGAGGCAAUCGCCUACACCAAAGGUCGGCUUGUGCCGAUGGUGGUCGAGGCAAUUGCCCGCACUAGGGCCCAGUUUAUGCCGAUGGCAGUCGAGGCAAGUGCCCAUACCAAAGGGCAACCUGUGCUGAUGAUGGUCGAUGCAUGUGCCAUCACCAUGCACCAUCAUGUGCCAUUGAUGGUCGAGGCCUUGGCUGAAGUUCAAUUUUGAGCCACGGUGCACAUGCUGGGCUCGGGCAUCGUCGGAGCAUCGUCGGAGAGCCUAACCGACGACAUUGGGGGUUUCGACGAUUGGGGGGUCGGGGGGUGUGCGCACAUGAUGUGCAAUGGGUGCUGGUACUUGGCCCUUAUAUUGGCCCCCUAUCACUCUUCAAACCUUGAGAACUCACACCCCCUUAAAAAGCAUUUGAGAUUUUAUAGGUUUGCUGGCAGUAGCCAUUAAAAUGUCUAAAAUGGGGAC